rnacentral:rRNA from 1 species
UGGGGAAUUUUCCGCAAUGGGCGAAAGCUUGACGGAGCAAUGCCGCGUGGAGGUAGAAGGCCUACGGGUCGUGAACUUCUUUUCCCGGAGAAGAAGCAAUGACGGUAUCUGGGGAAUAAGCAUCGGCUAACUCUGUGCCAGCAGCCGCGGUAAUACAGAGGAUGCAAGCGUUAUCCGGAAUGAUUGGGCGUAAAGCGUCUGUAGGUGGCUUUUUAAGUCCGCCGUCAAAUCCCAGGGCUCAACCCUGGACAGGCGGUGGAAACUGCCAAGCUGGAGUACGGUAGGGGCAGAGGGAAUUUCCGGUGGAGCGGUGAAAUGCGUAGAGAUCGGAAAGAACACCAACGGUGAAAGCACUCUGCUGGGCCGACACUGACACUGAGAGACGAAAGCUAGGGGAGCGAAUG